UACGAAGGGGGCUAGCGUUGCUCGGAAUCACUGGGCGUAAAGCGCACGUAGGCGGAUUGCUAAGUCAGGGGUGAAAUCCUGGAGCUCAACUCCAGAACUGCCUUUGAUACUGGCAACCUUGAGUCCGGGAGAGGUGAGUGGAACUGCGAGUGUAGAGGUGAAAUUCGUAGAUAUUCGCAAGAACACCAGUGGCGAAGGCGGCUCACUGGUCCGGUACCGACGCUGAGGUGCGAAAGCGUGGGGAGCAAACAGG
rnacentral:rRNA from 1 species